UACGAAGGGGGCUAGCGUUGCUCGGAAUCACUGGGCGUAAAGCGCACGUAGGCGGAUUGUUAAGUCAGGGGUGAAAUCCUGGAGCUCAACUCCAGAACUGCCUUUGAUACUGGCGAUCUCGAGUCCGGGAGAGGUGAGUGGAACUGCGAGUGUAGAGGUGAAAUUCGUAGAUAUUCGCAAGAACACCAGUGGCGAAGGCGGCUCACCUGGCCCGGUACUGACGCUGAGGUGCGAAAGCGUGGGGAGCAAAC
rnacentral:rRNA from 1 species